UUUCCGUAGGUGAACCUGCGGAAGGAUCAUUAAUAAUAAGUGUUUUAUGGCAAUUUUUUAAGUCCAUAUCCACCUUGUGUGCAAUGUCAGGGUUGAUUGUUCACUCGAGAGGAUGAACCCCAAACAUCAACUAUAUCUCAACUCUUUGUCUGAAAAAUAUUAUGAAUAAAACAAUUCAAAAUACAACUUUCAACAACGGAUCUCUUGGCUUUC
rnacentral:misc_RNA from 1 species